UACGGGGGGGGGUAAGCGUUGUUCGGAAUUACUGGGCGUAAAGGGCUCGUAGGCGGCCAACUAAGUCAUACGUGAAAUCCCUCAGCUUAACUGGGGAACUGCGUGUGAUACUGGAUGGCUUGGAUUUGGGAGAGGGAUGCGGAAUUCCAGGUGUAGCGGUGAAAUGCGUAGAGAUGUGGAGGAACACCGAUGGCGAAGGCAGCCCCCCUGGGCUAACACUGACGCUCAUGCACGAAAGCGUGGGGAGCAAACAGG
rnacentral:rRNA from 1 species